UACGUAGGAUGCGAGCGUUGUCCGGAAUUAUUGGGAGUAAAGAGCUUGUAGGCGGUCUGUCGCGUCUGCUGUGAAAAUCCGGGGCUCAACCCCGGACUUGCAGUGGGUACGGGCAGACUAGAGUGUGGUAGGGGAGACUGGAAUUCCUGGUGUAGCGGUGAAAUGCGCAGAUAUCAGGAGGAACACCGGUGGCGAAGGCGGGUCUCUGGGCCGAUACUGACGCUGAGGAGCGAAAGCGUGGGGAGCGAACAGG
rnacentral:rRNA from 1 species